rnacentral:rRNA from 1 species
UACGUAGGGUGCAAGCGUUGUCCGGAAUUAUUGGGCGUAAAGAGCUCGUAGGCGGUUUGUCGCGUCUGCUGUGAAACCCGAGGCUCAACCUCGAGACGUCGGUUGAAACCACCUGGCUAGAGUCCGGAAGAGGAGAGUGGAAUUCCCGGUGUAGCGGUGAAAUGCGCAGAUAUCGGGAAGAACACCCGUGGCGAAGGCGGCUCUCUGGGACGGUACUGACGCUGAGACGCGAAAGCGUGGGAGCGAACGAGG